CCUGAGUUGAGCCUUUAAGACAUAGGGCCUCCAUUCCCUAGUCGCUUUUUUUGCCAACAUUAGGGCUCCAAUCCCUGAGUUGAGCUUUUUAGACAUAGGGCCUUCAUUCCCUAGUCGCCUUUUUUGCCAACAUUAAGGCUCCAAUCCCUGAGUUGAGCCUUUUAGACAUAGGGCCUCCAUUCCCUAGUCGUUUUUUUUCCAACAUUAGGGCUCCAAUCCCUGAGUUGAGCUUUUUAGACAUAGGGCCUCCAUUCCCUAGUCGCCUUUUGCCAACAUUAGGGCUCCAAUCCCUGAGUUGAGCUUUUAGACAUAGGGCCUCCAUUCCCUAGUCACCUUUUGCCAACAUUUGGGCUCCAAUCCCUGAGUUGAGCCUUUUAGAUAUAGGGCCUCCAUUCCCUAGUCGCCUUUUUUGCCAA
rnacentral:lncRNA from 1 species